rnacentral:rRNA from 1 species
GACGAACGCUGGCGGCGUGCUUAACACAUGCAAGUCGAACGGAAAGGCCCUGCUUGCCGGGUACUCGAGUGGCGAACGGGUGAGUAACACGUGGGUGAUCUGCCCUGCACUUCGGGAUAAGCCUGGGCAACUGGGUCUAAUACCGGAUAGGAGCCAUUUUUAGUGUGAUGGUUGGAAAGUUUUUUCGGUGUAGGAUGAGCUCGCGGCCUAUCAGCUUGUUGGUGGGGUAAUGGCCUACCAAGGCGGCGACGGGUAGCCGGCCUGAGAGGGUGGACGGCCACAUUGGGACUGAGGGACGGCCCAGACUCCUACGGGAGGCAGCAGGGGGGAAUAUUGCACAAGGGGCGCAAGCCGGAUGCAGCGACGCCGCGGGGGGGAUGACGGCCUUCGGGUUGUAAACUCCUUUCGCUAGGGACGAAGCUUUUUGUGACGGUACCUAGAUAAGAAGCACCGGCUAACUACGUG